CCCUUAGAUGUUCUGGGCCGCACACGCGCUACACUGAAGGAGGCAGCGUGUACUCCUGGAUCGAAAGAUUUGGGUAACCCGCGAAUCUCCUUCGUGCUAGGGAUUGAGGUUUGCAAUUAUCCUUCAUGAACGAGGAAUUCCCAGUAAGUGCAAGUCAUAAGCUUGCGCUGACUACGUCCCUGCCCUUUGUACACACCGCCCGUCGCUACUACCGAUUGAAUGAUUUAGUGAGAACUCGGGACUGGCACUAAGGGGCUGGCAACAGCCUAUUAGAGCCGGGAACUUGCUCAAACUUGAUCAUUUAGAGGAAGUAAAAGUCGUAACA
rnacentral:rRNA from 1 species